rnacentral:sRNA from 1 species
AGCGAAGCGGCUGCUUUGGGAGGCGGGGUUAGGGGCCCUGCUGGGCCCUGGGUGCCCUAGCUCCAGUGGGGCUCGGCGGCUCCCAGUGCCGCAGCGGGGCCAGGAAUAGAUGUCGCUUUUUCGGCUAAGACCCGCGUCUACUGCACCACAGCUAGAUGAGACCCUGUCGGAGAGACUAUGGGGCCUGACGGAGAUGUUUCCGGAGAGAGUCCGGUCCGCGGCCGGAGCCACUUUUGAUCUUUCCCUCUUUGUGGCUCAGAAAAUGUACAGGUUUUCCAGGGCAGCCUUGUGGAUUGGGACCACUUCCUUUAUGAUCCUGGUUCUUCCCGUUGUCUUUGAGACUGAGAAGUUGCAAAUGGAGCAACAGCAGCAACUGCAGCAGCGGCAGAUACUUCUAGGGCCUAACACAGGGCUCUCAGGAGGAAUGCCAGGGGCUCUACCCUCACUUCCUGGAAAGAUCUAGAUUGUUAUUGCUGUUUGAGCUGUCUCGGUGGGAUAAGUUUGAAAUUCAAGUGUUUGAACUGCUGAUUAUUUGGAUUUUUUUUUUUUUAACUUUGGCACAUUGAUCUAUCUAAACCUGGUGGGGAGAAUUAUCCCCACAUUGUCUCAUGGAAAGACUCAACUUGCAACUGUGCCCUCCACACUAUGCUUACUUCUGUCUUCACUCUGAUACCAGAGUGCAGCCAUGCAGACGGUUAUUCCAGCUCUGGUCACCCGACUCCUUUCACCAAAUUGCUCCUAACUGGAAGAUCUCACUUUCCCCUUGUAGGGUAGGAACCG